CAGCCGCCGCGGUAAUACGUAGGUGGCAAGCGUUGUCCGGAAUUAUUGGGCGUAAAGGGCUCGCAGGCGGUUUCUUAAGUCUGAUGUGAAAGCCCCCGGCUCAACCGGGGAGGGUCAUUGGAAACUGGGAAACUUGAGUGCAGAAGAGGAGAGUGGAAUUCCACGUGUAGCGGUGAAAUGCGUAGAGAUGUGGAGGAACACCAGUGGCGAAGGCGACUCUCUGGUCUGUAACUGACGCUGAGGAGCGAAAGCGUGGGGAGCGAACAGGAUUAGAGACCCCCGUAGUCCCUGUCUCUUAUAC
rnacentral:rRNA from 1 species